CAAAAAAAAUAUAACGUACGCGCACGUUACCAAAAAAACUAUAACGUACGCGCACGUUACCCAAAAAAAAAACUAUAACGUAUGCGCACGUUACCAAAAAAAAAUAUAACGUAUGCGCACGUUAUAAAAAAAAACUAUAACAUGCACGCACAUUACCAAAAAAAAAUAUAACAUAUGCGCACGUUACCAAAAAAAAAUUAUAACACGCACGUUACCAAAAAAAAAUAUAAUAUAUGCGCACGUUACCAAAAAAAACUAUAAUGUACGCGUAUACUACACGGUAACUUCCCAUAUCUUAGCAAACAUACAAAUGCCAAUUGUCAAGAAUUUAGACAUACAUAAUCCAAUUGUCAAGAAUUUAGACAUACAUAAUCAAAACUAAUAAGAAGUUUCCAAAGAAGUUUCUAAAAAGAUAAAAAACCAGAAGUGCCAAUAAGAUCUCAAAUUUUCAUCUACUCCAUAGUGUGAACUCUGCAACAUUUCCAUGUGACUCCUUUGGCACAACAAAACCUUGCAAAGACAUAAAUACAAAUCAAUCAAAAUCCUAAGUAAAGACACAGAAAAAAAAAUCAAUAUUGAUAAUACUCCAUGAAGCAUGCCAUUUUGCUCAUCUAAAAGCUCCUAAUUUUUUUGACAACAUAGUUCAAAAAUUCAAUGUACAUAAAAAGGAGCUUGCAUUAAAAUUAUGAUAAAAAAAAGUUGCUUAUCAAUAAGCCAACAAAAAACCUUGCUUGAUUUCUCAACCGUUGGAUCCAUUGCAAGUGUGAUAUCACCAACUUUAUUUAUCGAUCAUAAUCUCCGCAUUAAGACCAACCAUAUCUGAAAAAAAGAGGAAGAGAUUAAAUAAAAUAUUCACUUAUCAAAUAUACAAAAAAAAAUUACAAUAUAUAAAGAUAUAAACAUUACUUACCCAACUCAAAUUGUUCGGCGUUCUCAAUACACUCUUCAACAUCAAGCGGUACACGAGCGGCUCUCAACCAAUCUUGAGUGCAAAUCAAAGUUUCCACUACUUGUGGAGUUAAAGAACUCCGAAAGCCAUCAAGCACACGACCCGAUGUACUAAAAGUUGAUUCUGAAGCAACGGUAGUUACAGGAAUUGACAAAAUAUCUCGAGCCAUCAAGGAAAGGAUCUUAUAUUUUGAGCCAUUAGUCUUCCACCAAAUCAAAAUGUCAAUACCAAGAUCCUUUUCAUUUUUUUCUUGAAGAUACUCAUCAAGCUCGGACUUGUUGCCAUCGCUCCCUUGUUCAUUCGAGUAGAAAUACAUUUUCUUCCAAUCUUGGGCGUUAUGCUUCUUUAUUCCUUCGCUACCACUUGUAUCGGUAUUGGAAUUUGAACUAGUACUACUUACACCCAAAUUAUGGCCACCAAAAUCUUGAUCACUUGAAGGAAGAGAAUAUUGUUCAUAAAAUUCAUACAAACGCUCCAAUGUAUCCUUCACCUUGUAAUGCAUCUCUUUAAUUUUCGAUUCAUCAUCAUAAAUUUGUCCAUACAAGAAACUCACAUAAUUUAACUUGGCUCUAGGAUCUAACACAACCGCAAUCAACACCAUCAUAUUCACUUUAUCCAAGCUUCCAUAAUAUUUGUCAAAUUUUUCUUUCAUUUUCACACCCAUAUCUUGAAGCUUAGGAUUCGAUGCAUUGAUCGCCUCUUUCAAAUUUCUAUACAAAACAGCUAUCCCUUCAAAAUAAUCAUUUGAAGUAAUAUAUGAAGUCCCAGACAUCUGAUUGGUGGCAUCAUAUAAUAUUUUGAGAAAAUUCGAAAGAAUAAUAGCAUUUUCCCAAUCAUCUUCACUAGGAGUUUCAUAAUUAAGCUCACUUACAAAAGAUGGAUCGUGAUCUUCCAUCCUUUCGAAAGCUUUUCUGAACUUUAUAGCGGUCUCUAACAUGAGGUAAGUGGAGUUCCAUCUAGUGGCGACAUCAAGAACUACCGAACCCUUAUAAGUGAUUUUUUCUUUCUCAAUGUAAGAUUGAAAUACUUGGGCUCUUGUGGGAGAACUCCUUACAUAUCUAACAAUAUUUCGAAUACGUGCAAUGGAGUCACGUACCAUAGUCAAGCCAUCUCUCACAAUCAAAUUUAAUAUAUGAGCUGUACACCUCAUGUGCAAAACACUACCAUCUAAUAUCAACGACUUUUGUUUCGAAAGUUUAUCCCUCAAAUAGCCAACCGCAACAUCAUUCAAGCUAGCAUUAUCGACGGUAAUUGUCGACACCUUUUUUUCUAUUCCCCACUCCUCAAUACAUCCCUCCACCAUUUUUCCAAUCUCCUUACCCUUGUGACUAUGCAUCACCACAAAAUUGAUGAUUCUUUUAUGCAACUUCCAAUUUUCAUCAAUAAAAUGUGCAGUGAGACACAACUAAUUCAAAUUUUGAUUGGAAGUCCAUGUAUCAGUCGUGAGUGCGAUCCUAGAAUUAAUCUUUCCAAAAUAAUUCUUCAAAGAAGUUCUUUCACAAAAAAACAACUUCAUGCAAUUUUUUGCCACUGUGAAACGUGAUAUAUGUUUGACGAGAGGUUGUAACUCACUAACAUAUUCACGAAAUCCAACACGCUCAACCAAGGAAAAAGGUUGUUCAUCAAGGAUGAUAAACCGAGCAAGCAUUAGCCUACAACGUUCUUGAUUAAAUGCCCAUGUUGAUAAGACGCUACCAGUACUAGAAUCUCCUCCUCCCUUGCCAGCCGUGUUGACAUUACGUGGUACAAAAAAUUUCUGCCUCUUAUCUAGAUUACGGGGAAACCUCUUGCAUGUGAUCAAGUGCUUCCUCAUUGCAGAAGUACCGUUAGCAACACGGUACUUAAGCAUUGACCCACAAUGAAUGCACUUCACUUGAUAUAUGUUUCCAUCCUUAUCACUAAUUUUCGAAUAGUGAUUCCAACAUUCGGAUGUAUGUUUCUUAUCAUGGGAAAGAUGAUAACCGGGUACCUUAUUUGUGGCACUCGAGGUAAGGGGUGCCUCUUCUUCAAUUUCAUCGUUAGAAAACUCCAAUUCCGUAAUCGGAGUCAUUUCCUCACGUCCCUCCACCUCCAUUGAUAUGUUAUCUUGAUACAUUAACUUCACACUGCACAACAAUAAUAGAAUAUAAUUAGAAAUUUCAAAACAAAUAGCAAAGUAGAAAGUAGAAAUAAAACACCACUAGAACAAGAAUGUCUAGAGGUAAAAGUUUUGAAAACAAUUUCGAUUAAACCCUUAAAUAAACUCAGAAAAUUCUGAAAUUUGGACACGUUGUAUUUAAGACCUAGAGGUACAAGUUUCAUGAAGAAAUCGUAGUCCAAUUCGUUCUGGAUUAAAAGAUAAAAUCGAUUUACUUUUCCUAUUCUCUACUUGCACAGUUUUGGAAACAUUUUUGGUUAAAUAGGCAAAUGAACUAAAAAAAUUACGAAAUUUAAAUAUGUUGUAGGGAAGACAUGAAGAGAGAUAUUUCAUGCAGAACACAUUUCCAAAAGAACCUCAUACAAAAUGAUAUAGUCCACGCAUUGCAACUUACAAGAUCCGAACACAUCAGAUUGCACAGUUUUAUAAACAUUUCUGAUUAAAUACCCAAAAUGACCUUCAAAAAUUAUGAAAUUCGACUAUGUGAUAGCCAAGACCAUAAGGUAGAUAAUUCAUGAAAACAUCGAAGUCAAAUUCGUCCUAGAUAAUUAAAUAUGGACGGUUAAAAUCCCUGUUCAUACUACCGUAAUUCCAGAUCUAACCAUCUCCAAUGGACCACGAUUUAACCUACCUAUUCUUGUUUUUUUUCUCUAAAUUUUUUAUAUGUUGUACCUCAGGAUGUCCUUUACAACUUUUGUUAAGAAACAGAAGUGAAAUUUCGACAAAAAGGUUGCCUUACAGUCCAUGCAUUCAUCAAGGGUCGGUCCCAAAAUCUCCAGAUCCAGUCUUUCCAAAGAAUAAUGAUUUCACCCAUUUAUACUUGUUUUUUUUGUCCCAAAUUUGAGUAUGUUAUACUCCAAGAAGUCCUUUACAACUUUCAUUUAGAGGCCGAAGCCAAACUUCAACUAGAACAUUACAUACAAGUCACUAGAACAUCGAAGGUCGAGCUGUUUUUCUCGACAACAAUACACUAGACUAGAGCACCACUCCCACCUCAAUGGAUCAUCUUUUUCGUUUUUUCUUACUUUGCAUUCCACCAAUUGCACAUAAAUAUUUCUUUGUUCAAUAGAUCUUGGAUCAACAACAGUGAAUAGACUUCAAUGCAUUUAACUUGAGACAACAGUGAAUAGACUUCAAUGCAUUUAACUUGAGACAACGCAUUCACCAAUUAUUAAGGGAACAGAGACACAAAAAAGAAAACAGAGCUGCUCUACCUUUCCUAUUCACAACUUGCGGAGAUGGGCGGUGCGGCGCGGAGAUG
rnacentral:lncRNA from 1 species